rnacentral:lncRNA from 1 species
GGGUGCGGUGGCGACUCCCACGGCGGAUGGCUGGGUCGAGAGCACAUCUUUAUUUUCUCUCUAGAUCAUUCUUCUUCCUAUUUUGAUUUGAGAAAGGGAACGUGAGAAUUAGGUCAACCAGAGUGUUUUCCCAGGUGUUGAAAGGCUCAGGGUGCUCGCCCACAUCAGUGAGGGAGGUGCAGCUGAUGAAGGAAGUGCUGGGUGCAGAAGGGGAUGCUCUGAAAUGGUGGCUUCUGUUUGCAGUUUCAAAGCUCAGAUAUUUCCUGGGAAUAGAAAUUCAUCUCCUGGAAGUAAACGCAAUAGUAAAAUCCAAAUAAGGAGCUGUGGUAUUUGGUGUGACUUAAGAAGUUUUUAAAAUCUGGACUUUGCUCUUGUUAGCUCUGUGCACCUGAGAGACUUUGAACAUCCAUUUUUAAACUGCAGCUUCUCUCUAUAUAAAUGGGCUAUAUGGGAAUUGAACAAUGAGAUCACAUGGACACAGGAAGGGGAAUAUCACACUCUGG